rnacentral:rRNA from 1 species
CCUACGGGAGGCAGCAGUGAGGAAUAUUGGUCAAUGGACGCGAGUCUGAACCAGCCAAGCCGCGUGCAGGAAGACGGCUCUAUGAGUUGUAAACUGCUUUUAUAUGGGGAUAAAGUGAGGAACGUGUUCCUUUUUGUAAGUAUCAUAUGAAUAAGCAUCGGCUAACUCCGUGCCAGCAGCCGCGGUAAUACGGAGGAUGCGAGCGUUAUCCGGAUUUAUUGGGUUUAAAGGGUGCGUAGGUGGUUCAUUAAGUCAGCGGUGAAAGUCUGGGGCUCAACCAUGAAAUUGCCGUUGAAACUGGGUGACUUGAGUAUAGUUGAGGUAGGCGGAAUGCGUGGUGUAGCGGUGAAAUGCAUAGAUAUCAUGCAGAACACCGAUUGCGAAGGCAGCUUACUAAACUAUAACUGACACUGAAGCACGAAAGCGUGGGGAGCAAACAGGAUUAGAUACCCUAGUAGUC